rnacentral:rRNA from 1 species
GACGAACGCUGGCGGCGUGCUUAACACAUGCAAGUCGAACGAAGUGGCGAACGGGUGAGUAACGCGUAAUCAACCUGCCCUUCAGAGGGGGACAACAGUUGGAAACGACUGCUAAUCCCGCAUACUGAAGGAGGGGAUUGCGUCUGAUUGGCUAGUUGGGGGGGAAACGGCCCACCAAGGAGAUGAUCAGUAGGCGGUCUGAGAGGAUGAACGGCCACAUUGGGACGUGGACACGGCCCAGACGUCUACUGGAGGCAGCAGUGGGGAAUCUUCCGAAAUGGACGAAAGUCUGACGGAGCAACGCCGCGGGAGUGAUGACGGCCUUCGGGUUGUAAAGCUCUGUUAAUCGGGACGCGGUACCGGAAUAGAAAGCCACGGCUAACUACGUGCCAGCCGCCGCGGUAAUUC